rnacentral:snRNA from 1 species
GGAUGUGAGGGCGAUCUGGCUGCGACAUCUGUCACCCAUUGAUCGCCAGGGUUGAUUCGGCUGAUCUGGCUGGCUAGGCGUGUGUCCCCUUCCUCCCUCACCGCUCCAUGUGCGUCCCUCCCGAAGCUGCGCGCUCCGUCGAAGAGGACGACCAUCCCCGAUAGAGGAGAGGACCGUUCUUUGGUCAAGGGUAUACGAGUAGCUGCGCUCCCCUGCUAGAACCUCCAAACAAGCUCUCAAGAAUGUAUUGCUUAUUUAAUACAUAGAUAAAUAAACAAAACUUAAACAAAAAAUGAAGUAACUCCGCUUGGCAGUAACU